AUCUACAGCCAUGCUACCCUGAACAAGCCCGAUCUUGCCUGAUCUCGGAAGCUAAGCAGUGUCGGGCCUGGUUAGUACUUGGAUGGGAGACCACCGAGGAAGAACAGGUGCUAUAGGCG
rnacentral:rRNA from 1 species